CCCUUCUCAUGAGCUCCACCUGUCCAAACAGUGACCGUGUAUGGAUCCGCACGAGAAGUAGAUCCAAGUCACAGUCAAACAGGCACCUACCUCAAUGAGAGUUUGUCCAUGUCGGAUGUGAAACAAAA
rnacentral:snoRNA from 1 species